GAUGAACGCUGGCGGCAUGCCUAACACAUGCAAGUCGAUCGGUAAGGCUCUUCGGAGUACCCGAGAGGCGGACGGCUGAGUAACGCGUAGGAACACACCCUGCAGUGAGGGAUAAGACACCGAAAGGUGUUCUAAUACCGCAUACGGUCUUCGGAUUAAAGCAUUUAUGCGCUGAAGGAGUGGCCUGCGUCAUAUUAGAUAGUUGGUGAGGUAAUGGCUCACCAAGUCGAUGAUGUGUAGCUGGUCUGAGAGGAUGAUCAGCCAGACUGGAACUGAGACACGGUCCAGACUCCUACGGGAGGCAGCAGUGAGGAAUAUUUCACAAUGAGCGAAAGCUUGAUGGAGCAAUGCCGCGUGCAGGAUGAAGGCCCUCGGGUUGUAAACUGCUUUUAUAAGAGAAGAUUAUGACGGUAACUUAUGAAUAAGGGACGGCUAACUACGUG
rnacentral:rRNA from 1 species